CUGACGGAGCAAUGCCGCGUGGAGGAUGGAGGCCUGUGGGUUGUAAACUCCUUUUCUCAGAGAAGAAUUUUUGACGGUAUCUGAGGAAUAAGCAUCGGCUAACUCCGUGCCGGCGGCCGCGGUAAGACAGAGGAUGCAAGCGUUAUCCGGA
rnacentral:rRNA from 1 species